AUUGAACGCUGGCGGCAGGCCUAACACAUGCAAGUCGAACGAGUGGCGGACGGGUGAGUAAUGUCUGGGAAACUGCCCGAUGGAGGGGGAUAACUACUGGAAACGGUAGCUAAUACCGCAUACCAUCGGAUGUGCCCAGAUGGGCUUAUCUAGUAUGGGGGGUAACGGCUCACCUGGGCGACGAUCCCUCGCUGGUCUGAGAGGAUGACAAGCCGCACUGGAACUGGGACACGGUCCAGACGCCUACGGUAGGCAGCAGUGGGGAAGAGUGGACAAUGGUGGAAAGUCUGAUGCAGCCAUGGGGAGUGUAUGAAGAAGGCCUUCGGGUUGUAAAGUACUUUCAGCGGGGAGGCGGUACUCGUAGAAGAAGCACCGGCUAACUCCGUGCCAGCAGCCGCGGUAAUUC
rnacentral:rRNA from 1 species